rnacentral:rRNA from 1 species
CCUACGGGAGGCUGCAGUGGGGAAUAUUGGACAAUGGGCGAAAGCCUGAUCCAGCCAUGCCGCGUGUGUGAAGAAGGCCUUCGGGUUGUAAAGCACUUUCAGUGGGGAAGAAAGCCUUGGGGCUAAUACCCUCGAGGAAGGACAUCACCCACAGAAGAAGCACCGGCUAACUCCGUGCCAGCAGCCGCGGUAAUACGGAGGGUGCGAGCGUUAAUCGGAAUUACUGGGCGUAAAGCGCGCGUAGGCGGUCUGAUAAGCCGGUUGUGAAAGCCCCGGGCUCAACCUGGGAACGGCAUCCGGAACUGUCAGGCUAGAGUGCAGGAGAGGAAGGUAGAAUUCCCGGUGUGGCGGUGAAAUGCGUAGAGAUCGGGAGGAAUACCAGUGGCGAAGGCGGCCUUCUGGACUGACACUGACGCUGAGGUGCGAAAGCGUGGGUAGCAAACAGGAGUAGAUACCCGAGUAGUC